AUAAAUAGCAAGUGAAGGUAUGCAGGACUGAGUUACUCUCUUCUCUAGGAUGUUCGUGACCUGCUGGCAGGGCCAAGCUGGGCUAAGGCGCUGGAGGAGGCUGGUACAAUACUGUUGCGUGCUCCCCGCUCUGGCCGGUCUUUGUUCUUUGGAGGCAAGGGAGCACCCCUGCAAAGGGGGGAUCCCCGACUUUGGGAUAUCCCCCUCGCCACCCGCAGACCCACCUUCCAAGAGCUACAGCGUGUGCUCCAUAAGCUGACCACUUUGCAUGUCUAUGAAGAAGACCCUCGGGAAGCAGUCAGACUGCACUCACCUCAGACACACUGGAAAACAGUAAGAGAGGAGAGAAAGAAGCCUACUGAGGAAGAAAUAAGAAAGAUCUGCAGUGACGAAAAGGAAGCGCUGGGGCAGAAUGAGGAAUCUCCCAAACAGGGUUUGAUUACUAUCUGGCAACUGUCAGAUCUGAGUUUCUGUCCUAAAAAUGCACUGGCAAAUUCCCUACUCUCAAAACUGACCCAUUUCCUUAUUUAAACACACACCCACAGUGUCUAUCUUAGCAAU
rnacentral:sRNA from 1 species